UACGGAGGGAGCAAGCGUUACUCGGAAUUAUUGGGCGUAAAGGGCGCGUAGGCGAUUUGAAAAGUCUUGUGUGAAAGCCCCGAGCUUAACUCUGGAAGUGCACAAGAAACUGUUGAAUUUGAGUUCCGGAGAGGAAGGCAGAAUUCCCGGUGUAGCGGUGAAAUGCGUAGAUAUCGGGAGGAAUACCAGUGGCGAAGGCGGCCUUCUGGACGGAUACUGACGCUGAGGCGCGAAAGCCAGGGGAGCAAACGGG
rnacentral:rRNA from 1 species